GACGAACGCUGGCGGCGUGCUUAACACAUGCAAGUCGAACGCUGAAGCUCAGCUUUUGUUGGGUGGAUGAGUGGCGAACGGGUGAGUAACACGUGAGUAACCUGCCCCCUUCUUUGGGAUAACGCCCGGAAACGGGUGCUAAUACUGGAUAUUCACUGGUCUUCGCAUGGGGGUUGGUGGAAAGGGUUUUUCUGGUGGGGGAUGGGCUCGCGGCCUAUCAGCUUGUUGGUGGGGUGAUGGCCUACCAAGGCUUUGACGGGUAGCCAGCCUGAGAGGGUGACAGGAGACAUUGGGACUGAGAAACGGCGCAGACUCCUACGGGAGGCAGCAGUGGGGAAUAUUGCACAAGGGGGGCAAGCCUGAUGAAGCGACGCCGCGUGAGGGAUGGAGGCCUUCGGGUUGUGAACCUCUUUCGCUCAUGGUCAAGCCGCAACAAUGGUUGUGGUGAGGGUAGUGGGUAAAGAAGCGCCGGAUAACUACGUG
rnacentral:rRNA from 1 species